GGUAGUUGUGCCCCAUCUUUUAAUUGUGUCUGUUGCCUAUGUACAGAAAUGUAUUUUACAAUUUAUGGAAACUGGGUAAAGUUAAAACUAUUGAAAACUAAGCAGACAAAAGUAAUAGUUUGAACCUUGCAAAGUGAUGGGACAGGAGACCUUUCCCUCAAGAUGAGGGCCACGGAUGCAACGGGCACAAAAGGUGUGAAAGCAGGAUAGCAGACAAGGCUCGUUGAAAUAGUCAUGGCAGACGCCGCAGAUCAAAGGAUUCCUAGGCCCACCACCGGUCACACCUGUCGUACCGUCGUUUUCGCCGACACCGACGCCGAUGCCGUCGACCGUCGACCCCGUCGAAUUCGCCAUCGCCGGCUAAACCAACGGCGGUCACCUGGAAACCACAACCCAUUUUAGGAAAAUCGUAACACGUUAUGAAGUAAAAAAAAAAAAAUAAGAGAAAACUAAUCGAAAAGAAUUGUAAAGAAUGUUUACCCCAAGACCGUUGGCCCGCCCGCCGUAGAAAAGCCUGAUAGGUAGUUUAUCGGCUCGUCAUUCUGACGUAUAUGGUGGGCAACCCUCAGUUUGCGCCUGACGAUCAGCUCUGACGUCACUGGGGUGCCACCAAUCUCGCGCCCUCCACCAAGGAUGCUACGUACACAGAGAAAAGAGGUAGGUCUGCUGCUGCUGCAGCUGCAGCUGCAGCACACUGCUCGCGCUGCUAUGUCGAAAAGGGUGCACACCGCAUCAUACAGGGUUGCGCUGACGUAAGUGUGCCUCGGUGGUAGUCAGCGGUAGCGAGCAUACGUGCAUCCGCUAACGAUGGAUAUUUGACCCUUUUUCUUGCAAAUUUUUCAACAAUUUGCUCACGCAACAAUACCCGAAUUGAUUUCAAUUCACAAAUGUUUCGAAAACUUUAAAGGGUUUAAAUGUAUUACAUGGUAAUAAGUUAUACAUACAAAAUGAUGUUUAAUAAUCUAUGUCAAACUUUGUCAAUUUAAAAAAAAAACAUAAUAAUUAGUUUGGGAUUUUUCAGAUUUGAAGAAUCUAUAAAAUCUGAUUAUUAGUUAUUGUUAGUUAGAAAUAUCUGAACUUAUCCGUUUUAUACGUUUCGGGUGAUUCGUUUCGAGUCUACCGCUAGCAGCUGGAUGCGCACGUAGUGGUACUUGGAACUAGAUCUAUGCGCGAGACAGAGAGAGAGCAGCACCUCAACGUCCUCAUCCCCUGGAACUUCCAUCGUCCCGUUUGCUGCACUCCUGCAGAGACCUACAUAUACAUAUGUAUUUAUAUAUAUAUACAUAUAUGUAGAGAGAGAAAGAGAGGAUCCACUUGUACCAGACGAUGUCUGCGAUAGAAAUGAAGAAAAAUAUGUAUCUAGUUCCUAUUGAUCGUUUAAAAAAUCUUGCGGAAGAAGGAUGCGACGAAAUGUAUACACCAGUACUGUAAUCAGG